rnacentral:lncRNA from 1 species
CGAAGCUUUUAAUUAACCAAACAAAUAACUGAAAUUCAACGAAUGUAAUUAACUAUCUUAAAGCAACAUAAUGUAGAAAUUGGUAUUUUGUUUAAUUUGGCGCCCCCUACAGUGUGUGAGUGUGACGCCACUGUCGUGAACACAAACAACAGGUCUGUGACAGGUUGUCAGAGGUUAUGUGGGUGCCAACUACAAACAAACCUUAUUACAUCAUAACAAUUUUACGUGUUAUGUGUGUGUUGGAGUAAACGUGUGUAAGGCUGUGAUCCCACACCUCUCACAUAGUGCAGAAACAAGUGACAGCCUGUUACAAGACACUGUGCCAUCAAAAUGAAUCUGAAGUUGUUUAAGGUAUUAAAGUUACAUAAUGUUGCUUUAACUAAAACAUUGAAUCCUCUAGAACACUAUGUACUGUAUACAUAGAAAAACAAACCCAAACAAACAAUGUUUUUCCCACUUUGUAUCUGACUUUAAUUCCAGUCGGUCAAAUGUUAUGAUGUAUUUCCAUCAGCAGUGAGGUUUCUGUGGAGGUGAGGAGCGGAUGUCAGAGGUGCGGUGAUGAAAAUGACGCGCACUUCCGCUUUAAAAGCAGCAGAGAGAGCUGCGUGGAGCUGGAGAGAGUCGCUGGGGCGACGCCGAGCCGCAGACCUGCCUCCAGCUCAGCGCUGGCACAGUGCGCAGCGCAGUGGACUACUUUAUCUGCCGUGUGUACACACACACACACACACAAACACACGCAUACACGAGGAGUCCUGUGUGCUGAGGAUUUUGAUUUUUCUUUUUUUCAAACUCUGGUUUGGACGGACGGAACUUUACGCAGGGAAAACAGCAGGUGAGUCUACGAGGCUGCACCUGAGGGACAAUAUUAUCUCCCGUCUGAAUUGGAAACCGGUUUGUUUCCUCCUCCGAACUCCACUUGUUGAUGGGGCGCGAACAGGCUCGACCAGCCUCCGCAUCACGGAGAUAGUCCUAUGCGUAAUUUGGAGGUUUCGAGGCAGAUGGUGGGGAUGUUUCGGUAACAGCCUUUCGGCAUCAGAUCGUGUUACGCAGGCUGC